UACGUAGGGUGCAAGCGUUGUCCGGAAUUAUUGGGCGUAAAGAGCUCGUAGGCGGUUUGUCGCGUCUGCUGUGAAAACCUAAGGCUCAACCUUGGGCUUGCAGUGGGUACGGGCAGACUAGAGUGCGGUAGGGGUGACUGGAAUUCCUGGUGUAGCGGUGGAAUGCGCAGAUAUCAGGAAGAACACCCGUGGCGAAGGCGGCUCUCUGGGACGGUACUGACGCUGAGACGCGAAAGCGUGGGGAGCGAACAGG
rnacentral:rRNA from 1 species